rnacentral:lncRNA from 1 species
GAAAAAUGAAUGAUCAAAAAUGAAUAACUAUAUAAAAAUAAAUAUUAGACUUUCUCAAUUUAUAAUCAGAAUUAUCAAAAUAGAUUGUUUUACACUAUCAAACAAGCAAACAACUCAUAUUGAAUGUCCAAAAUUGCCAAUUUUGUGAUCAUUUGAUCACUAGGUAAAUAAUUUUUAGGGUAAACUUCAAAUACCCCCCAUGUGGUUUCACACUUUCUCACUUUAGUACCAUGUGAUUUAAUAUGUAUCAAGUUAGCCCAUAUGGUUUCGCACUUUCUCACUUUAGUACCCUGUGAUUUAAAGUGUAUCAAAUUAAUACCCUGUGGUUUCAUUUUUUUCUUUUUAUUAUCCAUUUCAUUAAUUUUUUUCGUUAAAUCAGUGACAAAGUUAAAAUUAAAGGAUACUAAAGUGAAUAUUCGAUAAACUUAGGUAGAGUAUCUGAAGUUUUUUGUAUAUAAUUUAACCAAAUAUUAACGGAGGAAAAAAAAUUAGUGAUAAAGUUAAAACUAAAGAAUAGUAAAGUAAAUAUUCGAUAAACCUAGAUAGGGUAUCUGAAGUUUUUUAUGUAUAAUUUAACGAAAUAUUAACAGAGGAGCCGACGAAAAGAGAAAAAUAAAAUCACAAGGUACUAAAUUGAUGCACUUUAAAUCACAGGGUACUAAAGUGAGAAAGUGCGAAACCAUAGGGUACUAAAUUGAUACACUUUAAGCCACAGAGUACUAAAGUGAAAAAGUGCGAAACUACAGGG